rnacentral:rRNA from 1 species
UUCCAGACUCCUACGGGAGGCAGCAGUGAGGAAUAUUGGUCAAUGGGCGGAAGCCUGAACCAGCCAAGUCGCGUGAGGGAAGAAGGCCCUGCGGGUCGCAGACCUCUUUGGACGGGGAGCAAGGCCGCCGACGUGUCGGCGGAAGGAGAGUACCCGUAGAACAAGCAUCGGCUAACUCCGUGCCAGCAGCCGCGGUAAUACGGAGGAUGCGAGCGUUAUCCGGAUUUAUUGGGUUUAAAGGGUGCGCAGGCGGCACGGCAAGCCGGCGGUCAAAUCGCGGGGCUCAACCCCGGCCUGCCGUCGGAACUGGGUGCCUUGAGUGGGCGAGAAGUAUGCGGAAUGCGUGGUGUAGCGGUGAAAUGCAUAGAUAUCACGCAGAACCCCGAUUGCGAAGGCAGCAUACCGGCGCCCUACUGACGCUGAGGCACGAAAGCGUGGGUAUCGAACAGGAUUAGAUACCCCGGUA